GAUGUGCUUAAACGACGACGUCAGACAAAGCUGCUAAUCAUAUUCAACGCAAGGCAUUUUCCCCCAAAAUUGUCUUGCGCCAAUAUCGCAGCUCCCUGCCACCGCACACAAUUUGAGUUCGCAACCGCUCCGUCAUCUCCAUUGCCAACCAGCUAAUGAAAUGGGUUAGAAAAUAGACUGGCUGUUGGGAGAGUGAAGUGCUGGUGCUAUGCCUCGGUACCAAAAGAAAAGUUCUCCACACUCGUCCAUCGGCGAAUAGCAAGAGAUCUUUCACGAGAAUAUGUUGAGUGCCCAGAUAUACAUUUUGUGUGGAGAUAUGAACUGAGUUUGCUCAGCCCCUACUGUGAUUGUGGACUCCUUUAUACUAUAAGACUUCUUUCUUGUUCUCUUUUGCUCAGACUUCUUGAUAUUUGUAGGUUGCAUAAGUCCCGUUUACUUUUUCUUUUUAAAUAAAUAAAUCUGAAACCUACGUGAAAAAAUCACUUUUUUAAAAGAAAGUGUGUGAGCGUUGCACAUUUUAAAACUGUAUAUAACAUUACUCUUUUAGAAAAACACCCCUCCCAUAUUGCAGUUAAAUUUGAACCUCAUUUCAGUUAAAUUUGAACCAGCAAACUGCAGCAGGAAAUGGCAACCAUUCAAAUUCCACUUCAACCGUUAAAGCUGAAUGGACAGUUCAUAUGGGAAAAACAGAAUGCCACCAUGUCGAGGAUAUUUCUACCGUAGAGCGUGAAAACAAAGACCUUGAAGAGGCUCUUCAGAAUUGUUUGAAGAAGGCAAAUUUGGGCGCACAACAAUGGAAGAAUGCUCAAGAAUCCUUGCUCAUCCAAGAAAGUAGCAAAUUUUGCUUCUGUGGACUCCAUUGUUAGGACGGCAAUGGAAGCUAAUCAAAGUCCCGUGUGCCCAGUUUUCUUCUGCCUUGUCAACUGCUUUGGGAAAUGGAGACAUUGCUAACAAGGAUCUGUUUUCAUCCAUUGACCAUCAGUAUCUAAUUUUACAUGCACAUUAUUGCAUAGAGCUGAAAAUAUUCAGGUUUAUCAGGACUACCAGAGCACUGAAUAUUGAGAACAUCGGUGUUGAUGAUUGCCUACAACGAUAUAUGUUCAGUUGGGAGGACAGUUUAUGGUCCACAAGUGUCGACUCGGCCAUUGAAAACCAUAAAAAACCGACCUCAAAGAAUUGGCACUCCACCCUAGUAAUAAAUUAGCCCAUGUCAAAAAGAGUAAGGCAUAUAACACGAUGAAACCAGACCCCAUUGAGGUGUUCCUUCUCCACAUUUGGAAUCUUUACAUCAAAUGAUAUUACGUUAAUUUUCCAA